GCGGAAGUGGCGGAACUGGCAGACGCACCAGCUUGAGGGGCUGGCGGUGGCAACAUCGUGGGGGUUCAAAUCCCCCCUUCCGCACCA
rnacentral:tRNA from 1 species